rnacentral:rRNA from 1 species
UACGUAGGGGGCAAGCGUUGUCCGGAUUUAUUGGGCGUAAAGAGCGUGUAGGCGGUCAGGUAGGUCCGUUGUGAAAACUCGAGGCUCAACCUCGAGACGCCGAUGGAAACCAUCUGACUAGAGUCCGGAAGAGGAGAGUGGAAUUCCUGGUGUAGCGGUGAAAUGCGCAGAUAUCAGGAAGAACACCCGUGGCUAAGGCGGCUCUCUAGUACGGUGACUGACGCGAGACGCAACGUGGGGAGCGAACGGAUGAAGAACCUAUAC